rnacentral:rRNA from 1 species
UACGUAGGGUGCAAGCGUUAUCCGGAAUUAUUGGGCGUAAAGGGCUCGUAGGCGGUCCAUCGCGUCGGGAGUGAAAAGCUGGGGCUUAACCCCAGUCCUGCUUUCGAUACGGGUGGACUAGAGGUAGGCAGGGGAGAACGGAAUUCCUGGUGUAGCGGUGAAAUGCGCAGAUAUCAGGAGGAACACCGGUGGCGAAGGCGGUUCUCUAGUACGGUACUGACGCUGAGACGCGAAAGCGUGGGGAGCGAACAGG